rnacentral:rRNA from 1 species
UACGAAGGGGGCUAGCGUUGUUCGGAAUCACUGGGCGUAAAGCGCACGUAGGCGGAUUGUUAAGUCGGGGGUGAAAUCCUGAGGCUCAACCUCAGAACUGCCUUCGAUACUGGCAAUCUCGAGUCCGGAAGAGGUUGGUGGAACAGCUAGUGUAGAGGUGAAAUUCGUAGAUAUUAGCUAGAACACCAGUGGCGAAGGCGGCCAACUGGUCCGGUACUGACGGCUGAG